GUUAUAGCUGAGAACCUCCAUGAGUCAUUGGUCGAAUGGAAUCUAGAUGAAAAGCUCUUGACCGUGACAGUUGAUAAUUGCAAUGUCAACGACAAGGCAAUUGAGGUGAUUAUGAGCAAGAUAGGCAAAAGUAAGCUUCUUUGUGAAGGUACUCUACUUCACAUGCGUUGUUGUGCCCAUAUUUUGAAUUUGGUAGUGAAGGAUGGAUUAGAUGCCAUGAAAUCAGCUAUAGAAAACAUCCGUGAAAGUGUUGCAUAUUGGACUGCCUCACCCAAAAGGAUAGAGACAUUUGAGGAUAUGGCCAAGUAUAAGAAAGUAAAAAUAACAAGGAAGUUGAGACUUGAUUGCAAGACUAGGUGGAACUCUACUUUCACAAUGCUUGACAUAGCUUUACCUUAUAGACUUGUGUUUGAAUGUUUAAAAUAAAAGGACAAGCAAUAUGAGUGGCUACCUAGUUCGGAAGAAUGGGCUUUCGCUACCGAUGUUGUAGAGAGACUUAGAUUGUUCUUUGAAGUAACUGAGCUAUUUUCUGGAACUGAUUAUGUGACUGCCAAUGUUUACUUUCCUAAGAUAUGUGGAAUUAAAAUAAAAAUGAGACAGUGGGAAACUUCUAGCAACGAAACUGUCCAAAACAUGACAAAAAGCAUGGCUGAAAAAUUUGAUAAGUAUUGGACCGACAUCCAAGGUCUAAUGGCUGUAGCUACACUUCUUGAUCCUCGGUACAAGAAGCAAAUGUUGGUAGCUUGCUUUGCCAUGUUGCAUGGUAUUGAGCCAUCUUGUUAUGAAUGUACUACAAAAGUUGAUGACAUAGUUGCUAGUCUGCAUUCAUUGCUGGACCACUAUGAAGUGGAAAGUGAGGCAUACAAACCGGAUGAAGAAUCUAUGUUGUCUACAAUGAAAGCUCCUGCAAUCAUGAGUGUGUUCCAAAACAUUGUAGCUCAGCAAAUGCCUGCAACUGCUAGACUUUAAGGUGAAAUAGAGCAAUACUUGAAUGAUGGUUUAGUGCCUUACACUGAAAAGUUUAAUGUGUUGGAUUGGUGGAAGGUGGCUGGAACAAGGUAUCCAACCUUAAGGAAAGUUGCAAGAGACAUAUUUGCUAUUCCUGUUACAACUGUUGCUUCAGAAUCAGCCUUUAGUACAAGUGGUAGAAAGCUCAAUGAGCAUAGAAGCCGAUUGACAUCUGAUAUGGUCGAGGUUUUAAUGUGCUCACAAGAUUGGCUUAGAAACAAGUACAAAGAUGCUUACACAGGAGAAGCUAGCUUUUGGACUUGCCUUCAGGACAUUCAAGAAGGGAUACAGGUUAGUGCUUAAGAAUUGCAAACAUAUCUUGUAUACAUAAAGCUCUCAAGUUCACAUGUCUCACAAUUCCCAAAUUAGGAUUUGGCGGUUUGAGAUGCGAAGGCUCAUGAAGUGAGUACAAGAUGAAAUCUACUCAAGUUGGUUUGGUGUCAUGUGGGAGAGGCUCAAGUGGCUACAAUGACUAUGUGUCCAACUUAUUUGUGUGUUGAACCUACUUUUGUGUUGAGGUUGAACUUAUUUGUCUUGAACCAACAUGUGUGUUGAACUUA